GGUUGUUGACCUGUAUUUAAUGACAGCAAACGCUUUAACAUAAUAUACACUGUCUGUGUAGAUGUGCCUGUUCACAUUAGCCUCUGUCUUCUUGUGUAGAGUUACUGUCCAUGUUCAGUCCUGACCUGAUCGCUCCACAUGUGCAUCAGGGCUCGGUGAAGCCCAGGUACCGAACACACAACACACCAGAGUAAGUCCACGCACACAAACGCUGCUCGACGCCUGUGUCACACGUGGGAGCAUUUGUUUCAGGAGUUUGUUGGAGGAGGCCGAGGAGCUGUCACUUUCGCACUAGGUGACAAGAAAUGAUGAAAAAUGCCACAAAAUGACUCCUCUAUCGUCACGUAUUUCAUUCCCUCCACGUCUGUGCAGGUGACGGGCUGGAAGCUUGUGCUGCUGUUCGUGCCCGUGGAUUCCAGGUGUGCCUGUUCACCAAAUGUGGGCUCCUCUGCUUCCUACGUACAUGUCACCGCUCACAUUGUAUGUAAGUGAUAGUAGGAGUGUGUGUGUGUGUGUGUGUGUGUGUGUGUGUGUGUGUGUGUGUGUGUGUGUGUGUGUGUGUGUGUGUGUGUGUGUGUGUGUGUGUGUGUGUGCGCGCGAUCUCUCUGCGUGAUCUAGGUCGCUGCGGAUGUCGAGGCUGUGGUGCAGGACGUGGAGGCAGCCCUGCAGAUGCUGCAGAAGCGGGUACGAUCCAGUGUUUGUAGAACAUGGCCGUGAACAUGUGAAAUGGAAGAAGAGGCUAAUCCGCUGCUCGUGUGUGUGCAGAUGCGUCACACUUUGGUUCACGUUGCUGUCUGGAGCACACAUCAAGAAAAGGAGGAUCGGUGUCAGUGUUUGGGAGGCGGCAGCACAAAGCAGCGACUGUACAAAGCAGCUCUCCUGAAAGCACUGCAGGAUUCGCUGAGUCACGCCUUGGAGAAUCCACAGUGGCACAGCCGCAGCGAGGCGUUCAGCGCCGUGCUGCAGUCUGUCCCAGCUGUCCCUGAAAGCAACUCAGACUCCGUGAGUGAAGGAAAAAUCCAGCUCCAUUUACAAUAUAAUGAAUAUAAACGAUCCACACGUCUAUAAUGAGCAUAUGUGAUAUUUUUACUCAAAGGACCUGAGCCAGACAGCUGUUGAGCUGUGGACAAACCUGGUAGGUUCCUUUAAUGAGUGACAGAUGAAGCAGCAUGGAUGUGGGUGCGGCCGUGACCCCUAAAUGACCCUGCAUGUGAGAUGUGAAAUGAACUGAUGAGGAUCCCUUCACUCAAAGCAAGAGCGCGUAGAACAAUGACCGUAGCGCGCUGCUCCGUCCAGACAUCAGAUAAAAGCAAUAAAGAUGACUGUACCUUUACA
rnacentral:lncRNA from 1 species